rnacentral:rRNA from 1 species
GACGAACCGUGCGAACGUUGUUCGGAAUCACUGGGUUUAAAGGGCGCGUAGGCGGCGUGUUAAGUCAGGGGUGAAAUCCCGGGGCUCAACCCCGGAACUGCCCUUGAAACUGGGUAGCUAGAAUCUUGGAGAGGUCAGUGGAAUUCCGAGUGUAGAGGUGAAAUUCGUAGAUAUUCGGAAGAACACCAGUGGCGAAGGCGACUGACUGGACAAGUAUUGACGCUGAGGUGCGAAAGCGUGGGGAGCAAACAGG